CCGCAUACAUCCAUAUUUUUGGGAAGAGAUGUGGGGAAAGCUCUGGUGCUCUGGGAGGGGUCUGCGUCCGAUUAGCUAGUUGGUGAGGUAAAGGCUCACCAAGGCGACGAUCGGUAGCUGGUCUGAGAGGACGAUCAGCCACACGGGAACUGAGACACGGUCCCGACUCCUACGGGGGGGCAGCAGUGAGGAAUAUUGGGCAAUGGGCGAGAGCCUGACCCAGCAACGCCGCGUGGAGGAAGACGGCCUUCGGGUUGUAAACUCCUUUUGACAGGGGAAGAGAGAGGACGGUACCUGUCGAAUAAGUCACGGCUAACUACGUGCCAGCAGCCGCGGUAAUACGUAGGUGACAAGCGUUAUCCGGAAUUACUGGGCGUAAAGCGCACGCAGGCGGCUGCUUAAGUCUGACGUGAAAUCUCCUGGCUUAACUGGGAGGGGUCGUUGGAAACUGGGUGGCUUGAGGUGGUGAGAGGGGUGCAGAAUUCCCGGUGUAGUGGUGGAAUGCGUAGAUAUCGGGAGGAAUACCAGUGGCG
rnacentral:rRNA from 1 species